UCUUAGGUAGUAUAGUAUUUAGUAUUUGCGCCUGUCAAAGGUUCGACCGUAGUACGCGCGAGACCGGGGUUCAAUUCCCCGCUUGAGAG